UAGUAGGCGCUCUGUCUUGUUUCGAUGUUUUUUGGAAAAUACAAAUAUUUUAUCUAUGAUAUAGCUCAUAGAGUUUGCGUUUCUGCUAUUGCGUUAUCAAGUAUCUAUCUUUUGUUUACUGCUGGUUAUAACUUUGUUAUGCUCCGCCAACACACGAGAACUUUAAAAGCUAAUAAAGAGGCUACUAGCGUGGAAGCUAAUGAACAUAAAUAGUUGACACAGUUUUAGAAGUAAAAUUGACGAUAAAUUGCCGAUUUCUUUCGGCGUAAUAAAUGUAA